UCAAACUUGGUCAUUUAGAGGAAGUAAAAGUCGUAACAAGGUUUCCGUAGGUGAACCUGCGGAAGGAUCAUUAACGAUUUGAAUACCAUACAUAUGGAUUCAAUUCAAUCCAUAUCCACCUUGUGUGCACCUAUUGAAAAGUGUGCUUUGGGAUGGUCUUUUUGGUCCGGUGUUUGUUUUUUUUGCACCUGGCUGGGCCUCCCAGAGACUUUUUAAUUUAACUACGUGUUAAAAAUGAACAUGUCUGAAAAUUGAACCUUUGUAUAAUAAAAAAACAACUUUCAACAACGGAUCUCUAGGUUCUGGCAUCGAUGAAGAACGCAGC
rnacentral:misc_RNA from 1 species